UACGGGGGGGGCAAGCGGUUGUUCGGAAUUACUGGGCGUAAAGGGCUCGUAGGCGGCCAACUAAGUCAGACGUGAAAUCCCUCGGCUUAACCGGGGAACUGCGUCUGAUACUGGAUGGCUUGAGUUUGGGAGAGGGACGCGGAAUUCCAGGUGUAGCGGUGAAAUGCGUAGAUAUCUGGAGGAACACCGGUGGCGAAGGCGGCAUCCUGGACCAACACUGACACUGAGGAGCGAAAGCCAGGGGAGCAAACGGG
rnacentral:rRNA from 1 species